GUAUCUGGGAUUGGUGCUCGACAGCCGA
rnacentral:sRNA from 1 species